rnacentral:tRNA from 1 species
GCCAUCUUAGCUCAGGGGUAGAGCGCAUCCAUGGUAAGGAUGAGGUCGUGGGUUCAAAUCCCACAGAUGGCUCCA